rnacentral:rRNA from 1 species
AUGGGGGCUAGAGUUCUUAUCCCGAUCACCGUGGCCGUGGCCAUCCCCGGGAAGGUGCUCGGCGCCAGUCACAUGGUGGGCGCGCCGGCCGGAUCAUGGGACCUGCAGACCAACUACACCAUGUGGGCUUCGAGAACCAGCGUGCCAGGGCAUUGCAUCGCCGGUAUGAAGGUUCAAGUCAACGUGAAGUCGAAGGCAGUGCAGACAGUACAACGGUGCCGAGGGACGGGGAAGCGACUCCGGUGCCGGUACGAGACUGUAUUAAGCUCGGCCACGGCGGCUGGUAUUGAUCAGUCUGCGGUGGUGCGGCUAGGUCUGGCCAUUGUCGCGGCUGGUCUCUUAUUGUUCUUUUAUUGA